UACGUAGGGGGCAAGCGUUGUCCGGAUUUAUUGGGCGUAAAGAGCUCGUAGGCGGUCUGGUAAGUCGGAUGUGAAAUCUCCACGCUUAACGUGGAGGGGUCAUUCGAAACUGCCAUGGCUAGAGUUUGGUAGAGGAGUGCGGAACUCCCGGUGUAGCGGUGAAAUGCGCAGAUAUCGGGAAGAACACCCGUAGCGAAGGCGGCACUCUGGGCCAAUACUGACGCUGAGGAGCGAAAGCGUGGGGAGCAAACAGGAUUAGAUACCCUGGUAGUCCACGCCGUAAACGUUGGGCACUAGGUGUGGGACUCUAUCGACGGGUUCCGUGCCGUAGCUAACGCAUUAAGUGCCCCGCCUGGGGAGUACGGCCGCAAGGCUA
rnacentral:rRNA from 1 species